rnacentral:rRNA from 1 species
AUGGCAUCAAAAGGUCCCCGGUCGAAGCUAGACCAUGAGACAAGACCUAGACGCAAGAAGGCUCUUGAAGCUCCAAGGGAGCCUCGGAAGCCAAAAGUUCACUGGGACCAUGUUCUGGGGGAAAUGGUUUGGCUGUCAAAGGAGUUUGAAUCUGAGAGGAAGUGGAAGUUGUCCAUGGCUAAAAAGAUUGCUCAAAGGGCCAAUAUGGGUGUAGUUGACCAAGCAACAAAGGAUGAGAAAAAACAGAAGGAGGGGGAACAUCGCCUGAGAAAAGUUGCCCUAAAUAUUUCUAAGGAUGUGAAGAAGUUCUGGACCAAAAUAGAGAAGUUGGUUCUCUAUAAGAAUCAGCUAGAGGUUGAGGAAAGGAAGAAAAAGGCCCUCGAUAAGCAGCUUGAUUUCCUUUUAGGUCAGACUGAAAGAUAUUCUACAAUGUUGGCUGAAAAUCUCGUGGAUGUUCCCCAUUUGCAAACACAAGAAAAUGGACUGUUACAGACAAAUGUACUAUCCAAGGAGGAAGUAGCAGGACCUUCCCAGACUAAUCAACUGUCCCAGGAGGAAGUAGCAGGACCUUCCCAGACUAAUCAACCAUCCCAGGAGGAAGUGGCAGGACCGUCACAGACUAAUCAACCAUUGCAGGAGGAUGUAGCAGAACCUUCGCAGACUAAUCAACCAUUGCAGGAGGAUGUAGCAGAACCUUCGCACACUAAUCAACCAUUGCAGGAGGAUGUAGCAGAACCUUCGCAUGCUAAUCAACCAGCGCAGGAGGAAGUAGCUGAGGAGAACAUAAAUGCACCAACUCCUGAUGAUCUAGUUGCAGAUACAAUGGAAACUGAUGAUGACUACGAUAGCAGCUCCUUGAACGAAGAACAGGAAGAUGACGAGCGCACAAUUGAUGAGGAUGAAGCCCAAAUCACGGAGGCUGAGCGCAAUGAAGAAUUAGCUGCAUUGCAGGCAGAAGCUGACAUACCAAUUGAUGAUCUUCUUAAGUCGUAUCUCAAAAGCCAAGUUAGCAGGGAAAGCAGUCCAGCUAACAAAGACACUUGCAGCAACUCAGAUUUGAAGAAUUCAACUAAAGAUUCUUCAAACCAAGUUAAUGGCUGUAAUCAUGAUUCUGGUUAUACUUCAAGUGAUGAAGGCAAUUUUUCUGAGGAAGUUGAUGAUAGCCACCAUUAUGCUGAGUUUGUGAAGAGGAAUCAUGGGAAAAGUAACGGCGGUAUCUCUGGUGAGCAGGAGGAUAACGAUUAUGUUUGUACUGAUGAAGGAAAGGAUGAUGAAGCAACUUUAUCUGAAGAGGAAGAUUUGGCAAAGAAAGAUGGCCCUGAUCCUUUGGAUGAGAUUAAGCUUCUGCAAAAAGAGAGUGAGAUCCCACUAGAAGAACUUCUUGCGAGGUACCCAAAGGAUGGCUAUGCAGAUGACGUAACAACAGAACUGGAGGAUUCACCCACACAUUCUAGCGAAGAGGUUAAUAGUGACAUGUCUCUGGAUGAUCUACCUGCGGACUUGGAACUGAACAAUGAUACGUCUGAAAAUCAUGAAAUAGCAGAAGUGCUGGGAACUGAGCAUGUGAGCGGCAAUGCCCUACAGCUAGAAAUAGUUUCAGAGCCUAGCGUGCAAGAAACCUCUGUUAAAGGAGACGAGCUGACUGAUGCUAAGGUGAUGGCCGAUGAGGAAGCUAGUGUACAAGAAUGUUCUGUUGAAGAAGUUGAGAUGACCGAUGCUAAGGUGAUGGCCGAUCAGGAAACUAUUGUACAAGAAUGUCCUGUUAAAGAAGAUGAGCUGACUGAUGCUAAGGUGAUGGCCGAUGAGGAAACUAGUGUACAAGAACGUUCUGUUAAAGAAGAUGAGCUGACUGAUGCUAAGGCGAUUGCCGAUGAGGAAACUGGUGACAGUGUAAUGGCUGAUGCUGCUGCUGCUGCAAGAGCAGCACAACCAACUGGGAACACCUUCUCAACAACGAGUGUCCGCACGAAAUUCCCAUUCCUUCUCAAGCAUUCUCUUCGGGAAUAUCAGCAUAUUGGGUUGGACUGGUUGGUUGCUAUGUAUGAAAAGAGGCUGAAUGGAAUUUUAGCAGAUGAAAUGGGUUUAGGGAAGACGAUCAUGACUAUCUCCUUGCUAGCACACCUUGCAUGUGAGAAGGGGAUAUGGGGUCCACAUCUUAUUGUCGUGCCAACCAGUGUUAUGUUAAAUUGGGAGACAGAAUUUCUGAAAUGGUGUCCUGCCUUUAAAAUACUUACUUAUUUUGGAAGUGCAAAGGAGAGAAAGCAGAAACGUCAAGGUUGGAUGAAGCCAAAUUUUUUCCAUGUAUGCAUCACGACAUACAGGCUAGUUAUUCAGGACUCCAAAGCGUUCAAGCGAAAGAAGUGGAAGUAUCUUAUUCUUGAUGAGGCUCAUCUGAUAAAGAACUGGAAAUCACAAAGAUGGCAGACUCUGCUGAAUUUUAAUUCGAAACGACGUAUUCUGUUGACUGGAACUCCUUUGCAAAAUGACCUUAUGGAACUUUGGUCUCUCAUGCACUUUUUGAUGCCACAUGUAUUCCAGUCUCACCAAGAGUUCAAGGAUUGGUUCUGCAAUCCAAUAUCAGGAAUGGUGGAGGGCCAAGACAAGGUAAACAAGGAAGUUAUCGAUAGGUUGCACAAUGUCCUCCGCCCAUUUAUAUUACGGCGAUUGAAACGAGAUGUUGAGAAACAGUUACCACAGAAGCAUGAGCAUGUCAUAUAUUGCCGACUUUCCAGAAGGCAAAGAAACUUGUAUGAAGAUUUUAUUGCCAGCUCAGAUACACAAGCAACACUGUCAAGUGGCAACUAUUUUGGUAUGAUUAGCAUCAUUAUGCAACUCAGAAAGGUCUGUAACCAUCCGGAUCUUUUUGAAGGCCGCCCAAUUAUCAGCUCAUUUGACAUGGCAGGGAUUGACAUGCAGAUCAGCUCUUCUGUUUGCAUGGUCCUGGAUAAGGGCCCAUUUUCUCAGGCUGGUCUGUCUGAUAUGAACCUUGUGUUUACUCAAAAUGAAUUUAAUAUGACUUCUUGGGAGGCGGAUGAGGUUGCUGCUGUCUUUCUUCCAGGCAUCACCUCUAGGGGCUCUGGUGCAGAGAUUUCUUGCUCUAGCAAGGCUGGUCAGAGAAGUAAUGGAACAAAUAUUUUUGAAGAAAUUCAGAAAGCCUUGCAGGAGGAGAGAAUUAAAGAGGCCAAAGAAAGAGCAGCUUCAAUUGCUUGGUGGAAUAGGUUGAGAUGCGAGAAGAGGCCUGUUUAUGGUAGAAACAUUAGAGAGCUUCUGACCAUAAGACAUCCUAUGUGUGAUGUUCUUGAGAAGAAGAACAACCCUUCAUGCUACAUGGAUUUUUCAUCGAGUCUAGCAGAUCUUGUUCUUUCAUCUGUGGAACGCUUCAAUAAAAUGCUUGGCUUUAUUGAAUCAUUUACUUUUGCAAUUCCUGCUGCACGGGCUGCUACUCCUAUUUGCUGGUGCAAAAAAAGGAAUUCACCUGUUCUUCUUGGACCAGCUUACAGAGAACAAUGUAUGAAUGAGUUCUCGCCCAUUCUCUCCCCUAUAAGGCCUGCAAUUGUUCGCCGUCAAGUGUACUUCCCGGACAGGCGCUUGAUCCAGUUUGACUGUGGGAAGUUGCAGGAGCUUGCUGUCUUGCUGAGACGUUUGAAGUCAGAAGGACACAGAGCCUUGAUAUUUACUCAGAUGACCAAGAUGCUUGAUACUUUGGAGGAAUUCAUUAAUUUGUAUGGCUAUACAUAUUUGAGGUUAGAUGGUUCUACCCAGCCAGAAGAGAGGCAGACACUAAUGCAGAGGUUCAAUACAAACCCGAAGUUUUUUCUUUUCAUUUUAUCCACUCGCAGUGGCGGUGUGGGAGUCAACCUAGUAGGGGCAGACACUGUUAUAUUCUAUGACAGUGACUGGAACCCUGCAAUGGAUCAACAAGCCCAAGACAGAUGCCACAGGAUAGGACAAACACGUGAAGUUAACAUCUAUAGGCUAAUUAGUGAGAGCACUAUAGAGGAGAAUAUUCUCAAGAAAGCAAAUCAGAAGCGAACACUUGAUGAUUUAGUGAUACAACGCGGUUGUUACAAUACAGAGUUCUUCAAGAAGCUAGACCCUAUGGAAUUUUUUUCUGGGCACACAGCUCUUAAUGUCGAAGAACAGCCGAGGGAUCGCUCUAUGACUGCUGUAUCCUCAAAUGAAACUGGUCUGGCUCUGUCAAAUGCAGAUGUUGAAGCAGCUAUUAGACAGGCAGAAGACGAAGCUGACUAUAUGGCUCUCAAAAGGUUGGAGCAGGAAGAGGCUGCAGACAAUCAAGAAUUCAGUGAGGAGGUUGCUGGAAGGCUAGAGGAUGAUGAGCUUGUAAAUGAGGAGGAUACAAAACCUGAUGAUCACACCAGUGAAGAGCAUAAACAUCAAAGUUCUGAUGCGGAUAAGGAUAAAAAUGUUGGUUUACCUGUGAACCAAAUAAAUGAAGAAAAGGCUCUUACAUUGGCUGCAGGUGACGGAGAUAUGGAUAUGCUUGCUGAUGUUAAGCAAAUGGCUGCUGCAGCAGCUGCAGCAGGACAAGCGAGUUCAUCUUUUGAAAAUCACCUUCGGCCAAUAGAUAGAUAUGCAAUGCGGUUUUUGGAGCUCUGGGAUCCAAUAAUUGACAAAGCUGCUGUAAAUUAUCAGGUGAAUGUUGCAGAGGAAGAAUGGGAACUUGAACGCAUUGAAAAACUCAAAGAAGAUUUAGAAGCAGAAAUUGAUGAAGACCAGGAACCACUAUCUUAUGAGUCAUGGGAUGUUGAUUUCGCUACUACAGCGUAUCGCCAACAGGUUGAGGCUCUAGCUAAAAAGCAGUUGUUGGAAGAACAGGAAAGACAAGCUCUUGAAGCAGCCAAAGAGCUAGAGGAAAUGAAUGAAAUGGCAAGCAGUCACCGCAAAAAGUCAAAGAAGAAGAAAAGGAAGGCAGGCAAGUUUAAGUCUUUAAAAAAAGGACGUGUGUCAUCUGAGUCAGAGGCCAUGCAUGAUGAAACGUCUGUAGAUACUAUGAGUAUUGAUGACAAUGCACCCUCGCCAGAGCUUAUGAGUGAUGAAUCACCACAUCAUGGUUCACAUAAGCGUAAAAAGAUGACACCUAGAAAUGAGGAAGUGAGCAGCAGUAGCAGAGCCCUGAAGAAGUUCAAGAAAGCCCCUAAAUCGAACUUUACUCCUGAGUCCUCAUCACAUAAGCACUCGCUCGAAGGCAAGCAACUCAAGUUGAUGGAUGAAGUGAAUGAUUCUGAUCCAAAGUCGGUGAGAAUUAAGAGUGAUGGCCGGAUUUCCAUGCCCUCCAUGCCAGCAAAACGUGUUAUGGUAAUUAAGCCUGAGAGGUUGAAGAAGAAGGGUCUUUUGUGGCCUCGAGAUUGUGCUUUAGAUUCGUGGACUACCGAGGAAGAUGCAGUUCUUUGUGGAACUGUACAUGAGUACGGUCCUGUUUGGGAACUGGCUAGUGACUUUCUUCAUUCCAUACCUGGUGGUGCAUUUUAUAGGGGAAGAUAUCGUCAUCCUGUACAUUGCUGUGAGAGAUUCCGAGAAUUAUUCUGCAAAUAUGUAUUGUCAGCUACUGACAAUGCAAACAGUGAGAAGGCUCCUUCUGGUGCCGGGAAGGCUGUCUUGAAAGUAUCUGAGGAUCAAACUCGGAUGUUGCUGAAUGUGAUCAGUGAAAUUCCUAACAACGAGUUGCUUCUCCAGAAACAUUUCAUGGCCAUACUUUCUUCUGUUUGGAGAUCAAAAUGUGCUCAUGAGUCCCGACAUGUUACAAGUGUUUGUUCUAGUGCAACCCAUAAGCCUGUUAGAUUGAGUGAGAACUGGUCCAUGGCAAACGACAAGCCAUCAUUUAAUCUGGUAAGGACAGCCCUCGUAGACGCACAGGCCCAAUGUUCAAGAGUGGCAAUACCAACAAGCAACCAGGAACCUCGCCGGAGGCAUUUAGAUUUAGUAUUGGAUUUCCGGACAGAUCGACAUGCUUACCAGGCUGACUUUCCAUCUUUAGUGAAUGUGUCCAUUCUAGAACCAGAUCCUAUUAGACGCACUGUUGUGCCGGUGGAACAAUCACUGCUGUCUGGGCUUCCUCAUAGACAUGCUGAGAACAGAUUCAGGAUAGCAUCAGAAGCUUGUUUUGAAGGGGAAGGUUCUCACUGGGCAUCAUCUGUCCACAUGAAUGAUGCUGCUCGACAUAAAUCUGGUUCAAAGUCCACAGGAAAACACAAAGCAGCUUCAGAAUCGGGAAGACCACCGAAAUCGAAAAUUCAGAGGACGGCUGAACCGCAGGAAAUGCCGGCUUUGAAGUUUGAUUUUCUCCGAUCCCCCCGGCAACUGUUGACAAGUGCAGCUGAGUUCCCCAUCACACAGUCCCUAUCCGACUUUGGCAUCGAUGAUUCUGAGUUGACCUACAUGGAGGAUCUUCCUCUAGAAGAGACUGACACUGAGUUUGCCCCGUCCCAGUAUGACCCAGUUUCCCUUGCUGGUAUCGAGGAGUUGGAUCCUCUUGUGGAUUUGACAGACAUUGGAUGA